rnacentral:rRNA from 1 species
GAUGAACGCUGGCGGCGUGCCUAAUACAUGCAAGUCGAGCGAACAGACGAGGAGCUUGCUCCUCUGACGUUAGCGGCGGACGGGUGAGAAACACGUGGAUAACCUACCUAUAAGACUGGGAUAACUUCGGGAAACCGGAGCUAAUACAGGCGAAUAUAUUGAACCGCAUGGUUCAAUAGUGACAGCCGGCUUUGCUGUCGCUUAUAGAUGGAUCCGCGCCGCAUUAGCUAGUUGGUAAGGUAACGGCUUACCAAGGCAACGAUGCGUAGCCGACCUGAGAGGGUGAUCAGCCACACUGGAACUGAGACACGGUCCAGACUCCUACGGGAGGCAGCAGUGGGGAAUCUUCCACAAUGGGCGAAAGCUUGACGGAGCAACGCCGCGUGAGUGAUGAAGGUCUUCGGAUCGUAAAGCUCUGUUAUUAGGGAAGAACAAAUGUGUAAUUAACUAUGCACGUCUUGACGGUACCUAAUCAGAAAGCCACGGCUAACUACGUG